UUUGCUUGACCAAAGCAUACAGAUUACCAAUUAUUCAGUUAUCAAAUUUUAGUAUCUCAGCUUACAGAUUAUCUCAGAAAUAAUAUAUGCUUGGUCAUGCAUUCUCAAAUUUUACAGUUCUUAUGUAUUUUGCUCAUCUAUUUCAUACAUGCAUAAUCAGUUAUUUCAUGCUAUUCAGUUAGUCAUUAUCUUAUGCACAGUUAACCCAUGCAUUUCAGCCUAACCUGAUCUC
rnacentral:lncRNA from 1 species